rnacentral:tRNA from 5 species
GGGCCGCUGGUCUAGUGGUAUGAUUCUCGCUUAGGGUUCAAUCCUGAGCAUCGUUGCGAGAGGUCCCGGGUUCAAUCCCCGGGUGGCCCC